UACGUAGGGUGCAAGCGUUAAUCGGAAUUACUGGGCGUAAAGCGUGCGCAGGCGGUUCGCUAAGACAGAUGUGAAAUCCCCGGGCUUAACCUGGGAACUGCAUUUGUGACUGGCGGCUAGAGUAUGGCAGAGGGGGGUAGAAUUCCACGGUGUAGCAGUGAAAUGCGUAGAGAUGUGGAGGAAUACCGAUGGCGAAGGCAGCCCCCUGGGCCAAUACUGACGCUCAUGCACGAAAGCGUGGGGAGCAAACAGG
rnacentral:rRNA from 1 species